ACAUCAUCUUCAAAAACGAAACCACAUUGAGCAAAGAAAAGAGAACUUCUUCACCAUCGCUAAACCAUCUUCCUCACCAACAACAGUUAUUUACGGCAAACUACGAGCAAGGAAAUUACAACAUCAUCUUCAAAAACGAAACCACAUUGAGCAAAGAAAAGAGAACUUCUUCACCAUCGCUAAACCAUCUUCCUCACCAACAACAGUUAUUUACGGCAAACUACGAGCAAGGAAAUUACAACAUCAUCUUCAAAAACGAAACCACAUUGAGCAAAGAAAAGAGAACUUCUUCACCAUCGCUAAACCAUCUUCCUCACCAACAACAGAUAUUUACGGCAAACUACGAGCAAGGAAAUUACAACAUCAUCUUCAAAAACGAAACCACAUUGAGCAAAGAAAAGAGAACUUCUUCACCAUCGCUAAACCAUCUUCCUCGCCAAC